rnacentral:rRNA from 1 species
GACGAACGCUGGCGGCGUGCUUAACACCUGCCAGUCGAACGAGUGGCGAACGGGUGAGUAACGCGUAUCAACCUGCCCUUCAGAGGGGGACAACAGUUGGAAACGACAGCUAAUACCGCAUAUUAUUCGAUCGGCCUCUGUCUGAUUAGCUGGUUGGCGGGGUAAAGGCCCACCAAGGCGACGAUCAGUAGCGGGUCUGAGAGGAUGAUCGGCCACAUGGGAACUGGGAAACGGCCCAGACCCCACCGGGAGGCAGCAGUGGGGAAUUUUGGACAAUGGGCGCAAGCCUGAUCCAGCCAGGCCGCGUGUCUGAAGAAGGCCUUCGGGUUGUAAAGGACUUUUGUCAGGGAAGCGGUACCUGAAGAAUAAGCAACGGCUAACUACGUGCCAGCAGCCGCGGUAAUAC